AUUGAACGCUGGCGGCAUGCCUUACACAUGCAAGUCGAACGGUAACGGGCCUUCGGGUGCCGACGAGUGGCGAACGGGUGAGUAAUAUAUCGGAACGUGCCCAGUAGUGGGGGAUAGCCCGGCGAAAGCCGGAUUAACACCGCAUGAGACCUGAGGGUGAAAGCGGGGGAUCGCAAGACCUCGCGCUAUUGGAGCGGCCGAUAUCAGAUUAGCUAGUUGGCGGGGUAAAGGCCGACCAAGGCAACGAUCUGUAGUUGGUCUGAGAGGACGACCACCCACACUGGGACUGAGACACGGCCCAGACUCCUACGGGAGGCAGCAGUGGGGAAUGUUGGACACUGGGCGCAAGCCUGAUCCAGCAACGCCGCGUGCAGGAAGAAGGCCUUCGGGUUGUAAACUGCUUUUGUCAGGGAAGAAAUCUUCUGGGUUAAUACCUCGGGAGGAUGACGGUACCUGAAGAAUAAGCACCGGCUAACUACGUGCCAGCCGCCGCCGUAAUAC
rnacentral:rRNA from 1 species